CACGUAGGGCGCAAGCGUUGUCCGGAAUUAUUGGGCGUAAAGAGCUCGUAGGCGGUCUGUUGCGUCCGCUGUGAAAACUCGGGGCUUAACCCCGAGCCUGCAGUGGAUACGGGCAGACUAGAGGUAGGUAGGGGAGAAUGGAAUUCCUGGUGUAGCGGUGGAAUGCGCAGAUAUCAGGAGGAACACCAAUAGCGAAGGCAGCUCGCUGGGACGGUACUGACGCUAAGGCGCGAAAGCGUGGGGAGCGAACAGG
rnacentral:rRNA from 1 species